rnacentral:rRNA from 1 species
ACGGGAGGCAGCAGUGGGGAAUAUUGCACAAUGGGGGAAACCCUGAUGCAGCGACGCCGCGUGAGUGAAGAAGUAUUUCGGUAUGUAAAGCUCUAUCAGUAGGGAAGAAAAUGACGGUACCUAACUAAGAAGCCCCGGCUAACUACGUGCCAGCAGCCGCGGUAAUACGUAGGGGGCAAGCGUUAUCCGGAUUUACUGGGUGUAAAGGGAGCGUAGACGGUACGGCAAGUCUGAAGUGAAAUGUCGGGGCUCAACCCCGGAACUGCUUUGGAAACUGUCGAACUAGAGUGCAGGAGAGGUAAGUGGAAUUCCUAGUGUAGCGGUGAAAUGCGUAGAUAUAAGGAAGAACACCAGUGGCGAAGGCGAUCUACUGGACAGUAACUGACGCUGAGGCGCGAAAGCGUGGGGAGCAAACAGGAUUAGAUACCCUGGUA